UGCUUGCAAGCCCUCGCUGAAGGAUGAGUCCGCGUACCAUUAGCUUGUUGGUAGGGUAAUGGCCUGCCAAGGCGACGAUGGUUAGCUGGUCUGAGAGGAUGAUCAGCCACACUGGAACUGAGACACGGKCCAGACUCCUACGGGAGGCAGCAGUGAGGAAUCUUGCGCAAUGGGGGCAACCCUGACGCAGCAACGCCGCGUGAGUGAGGAAGGUCUUCGGAUCGUAAAGCUCUGUCAGUUGGGAAGAACUACCUAAGGGUUAAUACCUCUUAGGCUUGACGGUACCAACAGAGGAAGCACCGGCUAACUCCGUGCCAGCAGCCGCGGUAAUACGGGGGGUGCAAGCGUUGUUCGGAAUUAUUGGGCGUAAAGAGCGUGUAGGCGGCCUGAUGUGUCAAAUGUGAAAGCCCUGGGCUUAACCCAGGAAGUGCAUUUGAAACUGUCAGGCUUGAA
rnacentral:rRNA from 1 species